AAAAAAAAAAAACAACAACAAAAUAUUUAUCCUCUUCAAGUAAUGUAAUGUCGCGGACAACUCGUCUCACUUCGAAGACUAUAAAUAUAUACGAACACGUGCUGGCGGGGAAAAAAAAAAAAAAAAAAAAAAGA